rnacentral:rRNA from 1 species
CAGCCGCCACGGGAAUACGUAGGUGGCGAGCGUUGUCCGGAAUCAUUGGGCGUAAAGGGAGCGCAGGCGGGCAUGUAAGUCUUUCUUAAAAGUUCGGGGCUCAACCCCGUGAUGGGAAAGAAACUACAUGUCUUGAGUACAGGAGAGGAAAGCGGAAUUCCCAGUGUAGCGGUGAAAUGCGUAGAUAUUGGGAGGAACACCAGUGGCGAAGGCGGCUUUCUGGACUGCAACUGACGCUGAGGCUCGAAAGCCAGGGGAGCGAACGGGAUUAGAUACCCGCGUAGUCCCUGUCUCUUAUACA